AUUGAACGCUGGCGGCAGGCUUAACACAUGCAAGUCGAACGAGUGGCGGACGGGUGAGUAAUGCUUGGGAAUCUAGCUUAUGGAGGGGGAUAACUACGGGAAACUGUAGCUAAUACCGCGUAACACAGUAUGAGCCCAAGUGGGCAUAGGUAGUUGGUGAGGUAACGGCUCACCAAAACGACGAUCGCUAGCUGGUGUGAGAGGAUGACCAGCGACACUGGGACGUAGACACGGCCCAGACUCCUACGGGAGGCAGCAGUGGGGAAUAUUGCACAAUGGGGGCAACCUGAUGCAGCCAUGGGGCGGGAAGGAAGAAGGCCUUCGGGUUGAAAAGUUCUGUCGGUAGCUAGGCGUUAACUACAGAAGAAGCACCGGCUAAGUCCGUGCCAGCAGCCGCGGUAAUUC
rnacentral:rRNA from 1 species